CCUACGGGUGGCAGCAGUGAGGAAUAUUGGUCAAUGGGCGAGAGUCUGAACCAGCCAAGUCGCGUGAAGGAUGACUGUCCUAUGGGUUGUAAACCUCUUUUAUCUGGGAGUAAAAGGCUCCACGCGUGGCGUUCUGUGUGUACCCGAUGAAUAAGCAUCGGCUAACUCCGUGCCAGCAGCCGCGGUAAUACGGAGGAUGCGAGCGUUAUCCGGAUUUAUUGGGUUUAAAGGGUGCGCAGGCGGAAGAUAAAGUCAGCGGUAAAAUUGGGGGGCUCAACCUCUUCGUGCCGUUGAAACUGGGAGUCUUGAGUACAUGAGAGGUGGGCGGAAUGCGUGGUGUAGCGGUGAAAUGCAUAGAUAUCACGAAGAACUCCGAUUGCGAAGGCAGCAUACCGG
rnacentral:rRNA from 1 species